rnacentral:lncRNA from 1 species
ACACUCACUCGGCCACCUCCGCGGCAUGCUGGCCGCAGAGAGCACCGUCUGGACCUCCGGGCCCUCUCUGCUCCUGCCGCUGGAGAGGAUCCGGCUGGUCAGAAACAAGGGACGGGGCCACCCCAGGGGCUCAUGCACCCGGCAGACCACGGUAACCGCCAGUGGUGUUUCCACACCGUGCCCGUGAGGAGGCCACGCCAGGCCCCUGCGUCCGAGCUGGGGGUGGGGAAGCUGUGUCUCAACAAGCCUCUCUAUGGGAUUCUGGCGCCUGCUCAGCUUGAGAACGCGCUCAUCGUGGAGCCCGGCAGACAGGCGGCCUGACCCGGAGAAAAGGCAGGACGGCGGGUGGCCUGCCAGGGAGAGCCGCCGCGGCUGCGUCUACAGGAGGCAGAAGAGUAAACAUGGCUGGGCAGUGGAUGUGCAGCUCACGUCAGAGAAUUGGUGUUUCUGGCGAGGAGGGACCAAGCCUCACCACGGAGAAGGACGCCGUCACCGGCGUGCAGGCUGCCAACCUGCCACUCUGGGAGGCCCCACGCGGCCCCUGCACCUCUCAGGAGGGCGCUGGCGCUGGGAUGGUGGCCGGCCAGGCAGGGGUGGCAGGAGAAAACCCAUCCGAGUCCUGCAGGUCAGCGCCCUGGGCAUCCAGUGGGGCCGGGAGGGGUGUCUGAGCGCAGCCACCUUCUAUCCCCGGCCUCAUGUGGCCCCAUCAGCCCAACUGGAGCGGCUGGAAAUGACCAUCACCAGGCCUGGCCAAGGUGUGGCCCUGGAAGCCAGGACAGUUGACUUCCGGCCAUGACUCCCGGAGAGUGCCGGAGCUGGCGUGCUCAGCAGAGCUGCCGGGGACGAUGUCCCGGGGCUGAGUGGGCGGCUUCAGCCUAGACUUGGGCCUAGAUCUUGCUGGAGGCCAAGUGGUCAGUGUCCCAUCAGAGUGACCAUCCCUCACACGCCACUGCUGGGGGACACACCCCCACUGAGCGGCCAAGUCCACAGGACACGUGUCCCUGUGUCCACCUGUCAGCCACACCGCCCCUCGCUCCCCUACAGCCUCUGCCCUCAGACCAGUCCACGGCGCGCCGUUUUACCCUUGGGCUUUGCUGUGUCCCUUCCUUUGGCUCCUGUGCCCCGUCUGUGUGGCCACUGCAACCCUCAAGUCCCCCUCUCCAGACCAUAGCUGGACCCCCACUCCCGGGGCUGGCUCCAGCAGCCAUCAGCUGCCUUCUCACUCUGGCAGAGCCCACCCAGUGCCUUCUGAAGCCCCCGAGGGUCACUCAGUCUGAGACUUUCCGGCUUCUGCCCAUCCUGGGAACCAGCCCCUCCCUCCAGAAGCUUUCUCUAAGGUUGCCAGAAGGUGCUAAGAUCUGAACCGAGGUCAUCUUGUCCCGGGGUUUCCAGGCAGCGUCCCUUGUUUGGGGGCCCUCUGAGAUGCCUUCAGACCCCCGCCUGUGGCGGAAGAGCUUUGUCCUGGCCUGAUCUGCCCUGUCCGUGACGCUUCUGCUCAGUAGCUGAGCACGCCCUGUGGUGUGGACAGGCCAGCCCGGCUGCAGGACAGUGGGGGCUCAGUCCAGAAGCCUCUGGUGGCUUCUGCGUGUGGGCAGGGGAGCAGGGCUGCAGGGUGGGCUGGCACCUGGCAGCGUGAGGGGCCUCAGGGCUGUUAAAAUCCCAACGACCGGCCGGGCGCGGUGGCUCACGCCUGUAAUCCCAGCACUUUGGGAGGCCGAGACGGGCGGAUCACCUGAGAUCAGUUCAAGACCAGCCUGACCAACAUGGUGAAACCCUGUCUCUACUAAAAAUACAAAAAUUAGCCAGGUGUGGUGACGCCUGUAAUCCCAGCUACUCAGGAGACUGAGGCAGGAGAAUCGCUUGAACCCGGGAGGCAGAUGUUGCAGUGAGCCGAGAUCAUGCCACUGCACUCCAGCCUGGGCGACAGAGCGAGACACCGUCUCAAAAAAAAAAAAAAAUCCCAGUGACCAACCCAGGGCCUCGCCACAUCAACAGAGACAAAACGCAGCUCUGGCUCUCAACAUCCUCACCCCUCACCAGGUGCCCAGCUUCCCAUCCACCCACGUGACCCGCAGGUGUCUGAAAAUGCACAAAAUGUCCAAAUAGGACCACAAGAAGAUCUUAAAGACACAAAGAACAUUCUACAUAGUUUGUCAAAUCCAGCAUUUGACGGUCCUCUGGGUGACCCGGAGAACACCAAGGCUGUGAGAAAUGGGAGGCCUCCUGGCAGCUCCACUCCCCAGACCCGCCUCUGCCAGGGCUCCAGGCUCAGCAGGCGCCUGUGCGGGACAGGGCGACGGUUCAAGACCAAGUCCGGCUGUUAGACCAGACCCUCCAAUCCAGGCGGCCUCCCUGCUGGGGUCCUGUGCGGUCAGGAGUCCCAGGGCAUCCCAGGGUGGCUGUGCAAACCCUUGUUCCCAAAGAUAUGGGGCUUGUCCCCCAGCUAGCCUGCCCAUGCGGUGGCCACAGCCUCGGGUGAGUUCCGGUUCCAAAGUACCGGCUCUCCCUUACGAUCAAGUGUUCGAAUGUGCUUGAAGCAUUCCAGACACACCAAGGCCUGGACCUGACUUCAUUGACGCCUACUUAGGAAAAAUUGAGGCAGUCUGCCAAGCUUUCAGCAACUGCUUAAAAAGCUCAAAAUGGCAAGUUUUUCCUCGUGAA